rnacentral:rRNA from 1 species
AUUACCGAGUUUACAACUCCCAAACCCCUGUGAACAUACCACUUGUUGCCUCGGCGGAUCAGCCCGCUCCCGGUAAAACGGGACGGCCCGCCAGAGGACCCCUAAACUCUGUUUCUAUAUGUAACUUCUGAGUAAAACCAUAAAUAAAUCAAAACUUUCAACAACGGAUCUCUUGGUUCUGGCAUCGAUGAAGAACGCAGCAAAAUGCGAUAAGUAAUGUGAAUUGCAGAAUUCAGUGAAUCAUCGAAUCUUUGAACGCACAUUGCGCCCGCCAGUAUUCUGGCGGGCAUGCCUGUUCGAGCGUCAUUUCAACCCUCAAGCCCUCGGGUUUGGUGUUGGGGAUCGGCGAGCCCUUGCGGCAAGCCGGCCCCGAAAUCUAGUGGCGGUCUCGCUGCAGCCUCCAUUGCGUAGUAGUAAAACCCUCGCAACUGGAACGCGGCGCGGCCAAGCCGUUAAACCCCCAACUUCUGAAUGUUGACCUCGGAUCAGGUAGGAAUACCCGCUGAACUUAAGCAUAUCAAUAAGCGGAGGAAAAGAAACCAACAGGGAUUGCCCUAGUAACGGCGAGUGAAGCGGCAACAGCUCAAAUUUGAAAUCUGGCUCUCGGGCCCGAGUUGUAAUUUGUAGAGGAUGCUUUUGAUGCGGUGCCUUCCGAGUUCCCUGGAACGGGACGCCAUAGAGGGUGAGAGCCCCGUCUGGUUGGAUGCCAAAUCUCUGUAAAGCUCCUUCAACGAGUCGAGUAGUUUGGGAAUGCUGCUCUAAAUGGGAGGUAUAUGUCUUCUAAAGCUAAAUACCGGCCAGAGACCGAUAGCGCACAAGUAGAGUGAUCGAAAGAUGAAAAGCACUUUGAAAAGAGAGUUAAAAAGUACGUGAAAUUGUUGAAAGGGAAGCGUUUAUGACCAGACUUGGGCUUGGUUAAUCAUCUGGGGUUCUCCCCAGUGCACUUUUCCAGUCCAGGCCAGCAUCAGUUUUCCCCGGGGGAUAAAGGCGGCGGGAAUGUGGCUCUCUUCGGGGAGUGUUAUAGCCCGCCGUGUAAUACCCUGGGGGGGACUGAGGUUCGCGCAUCUGCAAGG